ACACCUCCUGGGUGUGGUGUCCUGUCCCAUCUGGUGGCACCAAGACCACUUAAUGAGAGAGAUUAAAUGAGUCUGCUCUACAGCCCUAGCUAGCAGCCAGUUGGCUCUUAGCUCAUGC